GACGAACGCUGGCGGCGUGCCUAAUACAUGCAAGUCGAACGCAGUGGGGACGGGUGAGUAACACGUGGGUAACCUCCCAUCAGAGGGGAUAACACUUGGAAACAGGUGCUAAACCGAUACUGAUGGAUGGACCCGCGGUGUAUUAGCUAGUUGGUGAGGUAACGGCCACCCAAGGCCACGAAGCAUAGCCGACCUGAAGGGGUGAUCGCCCCCACUGGGAUUGAGCCCCGGCCCAAACUCCGACGGGAGGCAGCAGUGGGGAAUCUUCGGCAAUGGACGAAAGCCUGACCGAGCAAGGCCGCGUGGGUGAAGAAGGUUUUGGGUUCGUAAGACUCUGUUGUUAGAGAAGCGGUAUCUAACCAGAAAGCCACGGCUAACUACGUGCCAGCAGCCGCGGUAAUAC
rnacentral:rRNA from 1 species